rnacentral:rRNA from 1 species
AGCCCAACAGCUCGCCUCCAACCCUAAAUUCGACAAUCAUUAUUAAUAACCCCUAAUUUCCUUAUUCAAAUAAUUAAAUCAUUUUUCCUCCCUAGUAUGUGCGACAGAACAGCAAAUACGCGAGCGCUAUAGACAAAGUACCGUAAGGGAAUGCUGAAAGAGAAAUGAAAUAACCCAGUUAAGCACAGAAAAGCAGAGAUUAAUUCUCGUACCUUUUGCAUCAUGAUUUAGCAAGUUUACUCAAGCAAAAAGCAUUUUAGUUUGAAAUCCCGAAACUAGACGAGCUACCCCAGGACAGCCUAAUAUUAGGGCACACCCGUCUCUGUGGCAAAAGAGUGGGAAGAUCCUUGGGUAGAGGUGAUAAACCUACCGAGCCUAGUUAUAGCUGGUUGCCUGGGAACUAAAUAUAAGUUUAGCCUCUUGUAUUCUUAUACCAAUAAUGGACACCCCUAAUUUUAGGUUUUGAGAAGACACUGAGAGUUAUUCAAAAGGGGGACAGCCCUUCUGAACCAAGAUACAACUUUCUUAGCUGGAUAAUAAUUAUAUAUCAUAAAGUUAAUGCUUAGGUGGGCCUAAAAGCAGCCACCCUAACAGAUAGCGUUAAAGCUCAAACAUAAUUUAAACUAAUUAUACCAAUAAUAAAUUAUAAGCCGCUAGAAUUACCAGGUCCUCCUAUUUUAUAUAGGAAAGAUUAUGCUAAUAUGAGUAAUAAGAGAACUUGUUUCUCUCCAUGCAUAAGUGUAAAUCGGAACGGACAAACCACCGAACAUUAACGGCCCCAACCUAAGAGGGAAUUAGAGCUAAAAUAGAAAACAGGAAAUAUCUCAAUUUAUUAACCGUUAGCCCCACACUGGUGUACAAACUUGGAAAGACUAAAAAGAGAAGAAGGAACUCGGCAAAUACCCAAUUAAGCCUCGCCUGUUUACCAAAAACAUCGCCUCUUGAACUAGCUGUAUAAGAGGUCCUGCCUGCCCUGUGAUAACAUUUAACGGCCGCGGUAUCUUGACCGUGCAAAGGUAGCGCAAUCACUUGUCUUUUAAAUGAAGACCUGUAUGAAUGGCUAAACGAGGGCUAAACUGUCUCCUUCCCUAGGUCAAUGAAAUUGAUCUUCCCGUGCAGAAGCGGGAAUGAAUACAUAAGACGAGAAGACCCUAUGGAGCUUUAGACACAAGGGCAUAUCAUGUUAAAGUAUUGAUUUUAAACAAUUAAAACAAAUUGAAUUCUGCCACAAUGUUUUUGGUUGGGGCGACCGCGGAGAAAAACCUAACCCCCGUGCGGAAUAAAAGCAUAAUCUUUUAAAACCGAGAGCUACAGCUCUAAGUAACAGAACAUCUGACCUUAGUGAUCCGGCAAUGCCGAUUAACGAACCGAGUUACCCUAGGGAUAACAGCGCAAUCCCCUUUUAGAGUCCCUAUCGACAAGGGGGUUUACGACCUCGAUGUUGGAUCAGGACAUCCUAAUGGUGCAACCGCUGUUUAGGGUUCGUUUGUUCAACGAUUAAAGUCCUACGUGAUCUGAGUUCAGACCGGAGUAAUCCAGGUCAGUUUCUAUCUAUGAAAUAUUUUCUUCUAGUACGAAAGGACCGAAGAAAAGGGGCCAAUGCUACAAGCACGCCCCACCCUUAUCUGCUGAAGGCAACUAAAAUAGAUAAAAGGGUAUAUUUUUUAGCUAAAAAUAAUAGCGU